rnacentral:tRNA from 2 species
GGACCGCUAGCUCAGUGGUAGAGCAACCGACUUUUAAUCGGUUGGUCACAGGUUCGAAUCCUGUGCGGUCCACCA